rnacentral:rRNA from 1 species
GAUGAACGCUGACAGAAUGCUUAACACAUGCAAGUCUUUGGCGAAGCUGUGCUUGCACAGCCUAGCCAAGGCGGACGGGUGAGUAACGCGUAAGGAACUUGCCCUGCAGUCAGGGAUAACAGACGGAAACGACUGAUAAGACCUGGUAAAGUCAGGCGGACUCAUGUCCAGCCUGAUGAAAAGAGAUGCUGCAGGAGAGCCUUGCGUCCUAUUAGCUUGUUGGUGGGGUAACGGCCCACCAAGGCGAUGAUAGGUAGCCGGCCUGAGAGGGUGGACGGCCACAAGGGGACUGAGAUACGGCCCUUACUCCUACGGGAGGCAGCAGUGGGGAAUAUUGGACAAUGGGGGCAACCCUGAUCCAGCAAUUCGGUGUGCACGAUGAAGGUUUUCGGAUUGUAAAGUGCUUUCAGCAGGGAAGAAAAAAUGACGGUACCUGCAGAAGAAGCGACGGCUAAAUACGUG